AAGCCCACCCCGAACGGCACAAAAUAGGAAAAAAGAAAACCCACCCCAUCUUCCCCGUCUUGCCGUCGACGCCCCACAUCCGGCACCCCGCCGCCGGCCACCUGACCUCCCGGCGCCCCGGCUUCUUGACCCGCCGCCAGCCACCUCACCAUGCCCCUGGUUCUUUCCCUGCCACCUCCCUGCGGCCCAACUUCUUUCCUGCCUCCGGCCUCCUCCUCGCGCCCCGGCUUCUUCCCGGCCGCCGGCCUCCUCCUCGCGACCCAGCUUCUUCCCCGCUGCCGGCCUCCUCCUCUCGCCCCGGCUUCUUCCCCGUCGCUGGCCUCCUCCUCUAUCCCCGGCUUCUUCCCCGCCGUCGGCCUCCUCGUCGCGUCUCGGCUUCUUCCCCGCCGGAGCGGCCAACCACAAGAUCCGGUCGCCACAUCCCCAUGACGCCCCCAGCAACGGCGCCCGGACCUCGACACCACCUGGCUCGGGGGACCCCAAGUCCCGGCGCUGCCGACCCCUGCACUACCUCAUCCGGCGACGAUACGCGCCAUCACUCUGCCUCGUUCUGGUGGGGGGUCCAUGCCACUGCGUCAGUCCAAUACUGUCGCCGCAAGCCGGUCACAUCCGCAACGACCAGGCCGGCUGCCCUGCGCCUCAGCCCCCCGUAUGCACGCCACCAAGUGCCUCUGUGCACUACCCCUGCCUCCCCCAUCAGGUUGUAGCCCGAGCCACACGGUGCCGCAUCUUGUUGAGCUAACUGCCUUGCCGUGGUUCCAGCGGUACACAGGAGGAUGGAUGCCCUGGUGCUGUACGUCCAGUUUUGUCAGGUUUUGAUGGCGAUGCUCUUCUGCUCAUGACGCUGGAGCCCUAGUGCCCCACUACACAUGAAACGAGAGACCUGUACAGAGGUUCACCUAAAAAAAGGCUAGCAGUUCUUCCCAAAGAGACAACAGUUCUAAGAAAAGAAGGAGCUGCAGCUGGUGAGCGUCUGUGCCCUGCUGAUUGCGUGCAAGUACGAAGAGAUUUGGGCUCCAGAGGUGAACGACUUCAUAUUGUUCUCCGACAACACAUAUACUAGGGAGCAGAUUCUGAGGAUGGAGAAGGCAAUCCUGAACAUGCUUGAGUGGAACCUGACAGUGCCCACACCUUACGUCUUCCUCGUGUGAUUCGCCAAGGCCGCAUCCUCCUGAGAUAAGAAGAACGGCAAGGAGAGCACUGUCUUUUUUUUCGUGGAGCUGGCGCUGCUGUAAUAUGGACAGGAAUAGUGUGUUGAUGUCGAGCACAACACAGAGACAAGGGUACAUCCAACGACAACGAGUAGGCGACAAGUGUACGUGUGAGCAGCCGGAUAGUAGCAUGAAGCAGUUGAGUAGCUGUCCGUGCAUAAGAACUCAGCGUGUGUGGUUGCCAAUGAGCUCUCCUACACAGUGGUCGCCCAUGAAAAAAAGGUUCAUGUCUAGCUACAUGGAGAGUUCCAAAAAACAGAAUUGAGAAAGUCCAAACCUCCAAAGAAAGUUCUUUAACAGUAAAGAAAGCCUUUGUGUUUAUAUAUUUGUGAUUUGAGCUAUGUGAGAGUUCAUAUUGUAAGAUUAUGGUGUUUGUUUUAAAGUUCAAACUAUUAAAAGCCGUGAGGUUCACACACUGCCACGGUGAAAGUUUGUGAAUUUGGUAUAUAAAAAAGAGAAGUGUUCAUAUUGUAUGAUUAUAGUGUUUGUUCUGAA